rnacentral:rRNA from 1 species
CAGUCGCCGCGGGAAUACGUAGGGUGCGAGCGUUAAUCGGAAUUACUGGGCGUAAAGCGUGCGUAGGCGGCUUUUUAAGUCGGAUGUGAAAUCCCUGAGCUUAACUUAGGAAUUGCAUUCGAUACUGGGAAGCUAGAGUAUGGGAGAGGAUGGUAGAAUUCCAGGUGUAGCGGUGAAAUGCGUAGAGAUCUGGAGGAAUACCGAUGGCGAAGGCAGCCAUCUGGCCUAAUACUGACGCUGAUGGACGAAAGCGUGGGUAGCGAACAGGAUUAGAUACCCCCGUAGUCCCUGUCUCUUAUAC